GCCCCGUUCGUCUAGUGGCCUAGGACGCCGGCCUCUCACGCCGGUAACACGGGUUCGAAUCCCGUACGGGGUACAA
rnacentral:tRNA from 4 species